rnacentral:rRNA from 1 species
UGAACGCCGGCGGCGUGCCUAAUACAUGCAAGUCGAGCGGAGAAUUUAGCAAUAGAUUCUUAGCGGCGAACGGGGUGAGUAACGCGUUGGUGACCUGCCUCGAAGUUUGGGAUAACAGUUCGAAAGGACUGCUAAUACCGGAUGUGAUCGCGGAGAUUAGAGGCUCUGUGAUUAAAGGAGAAAUUCGCUUCGAGAGGGGCCUGCGUCCCAUCAGCUAGUUGGUAAGGUAAAGGCUUACCAAGGCGAUGACGGGUAGGGGACCUGAGAGGGUGGCCCCCCCACAAUGGAACUGAAACACGGUCCAUACACCUACGGGUGGCAGCAGUAGGGAAUAUUGCAUAAUGGGCGAAAGCCUGAUGCAGCAACGCCGCGUGUGCGAUGAAGGCCUUCGGGUCGUAAAGCACUUUUGGAGGGGAUGAGGAAGGACAGUACCCUUCGAAUAAGCUUCGGCUAACUACGUG